ACGAACGCUGGCGGCCUGCCUAACCCAUGCACGUCGAACGAGACCUUCGGGUCUAGUGGCGCACGGGUGCGUAACGUGUGGGAACCUGCCCUUAGGUUCGGAAUAACUCCCCGAAAGGGGUGCUAAUACCGGAUAAUGUCUUCGGACCAAAGAUUUAUCGCCUUUGGAUGGGCCCGCGUUGGAUUAGCUAGUUGGUAGGGUAAAAGCCUACCAAGGCGACGAUCCAUAGCUGGUCUGAGAGGAUGAUCAGCCACACUGGGACUGAGACACGGCCCAGACUCCUACGGGAGGCAGCAGUGGGGAAUAUUGGACAAUGGGCGAAAGCCUGAUCCAGCAAUGCCGCGUGAGUGAUGAAGGCCUUAGGGUUGUAAAGCUCUUUUACCCGGGAUGAUAAUGACAGUACCGGGAGAAUAAGCUCCGGCUAACUCCGUG
rnacentral:rRNA from 1 species